rnacentral:lncRNA from 1 species
AGCUUAUGCAAUUUGUACAAAUAGCAUGUUUUAUGUACAUCUCUAGUAACCUAAAGGAUUCCUCCAUAUGGGGGAGAUGAGAUUGAUAUCCUGUAUCCUACCGUGAAAAACUCAGUGCCUUUUCUUUUAUGAAUUUCUCCCAGCCCAAAGUGCUUUUGGAUAUGUUGGCUAUUUAACAGUAGCAUGACAAACAGUGUCAUUUACACAAACCCAGAGCUAUGUGGAAAUAGAUUUCCUAUUAAUAUGCUUUGCCAGCCUGGUGUGGAAACUGCCAGAGUACUUGCAGCUAUAUUUCUGGCUUCAUGGUUACUUAAUGAUUGGAACUUUCUGAUUUAUAGGGCUCUUAAAAGUAAUAAUAUGUCUCUUAAUACCAAGUAUUCAACUGAUAAGUUUUUAUAAUGAUUUUUUAAACGGAUGGAACCUUUUCUAGACUCACAGAGACCACAUAGGCAGAAGCAACACCAAGUAGCCAAAAUAGCCAUUGACUUUUUCCUCUGUUCCUUGCACCCAAGGCUGGCUAAGGGCUACCUACAGAAUCAUAUGAACUUACAGCCUGAGGCCAAACAUACAGCAUACAGAAAAUUGUGAUGUUACUAUUGAGUAGGUGGCACAUGCCUUUAAUCUCAGCACUUGGGAGGCAGAGAUAGGCAGAUUUCUGAGUUUCAGGCCAGCCUGGUCUACAAAGUGAGUUCCAGGACAGCCAGGGCUAUACAGAGAAAGCCUGUCUCAAAAAACAAAAACAAAAACAAAAACAAACAAACAAACAAAAAAAAACCCAACCAAACAAAAAAAUGUAUAACCCCACAUAUGUGGCCAGUGCAUCAUAGGUCACUCCAUGUGUACUCUUUGGUUGUUGGUCCAGUCCCCCAGAGCUCUGGGGUGUCUAGCCUGCUGACACUGUUGCUCCCUCCAUGGGGCUGCAAUCCCCCUCAGUUCCUUCAGUUCCUUCUCCAACUCCUCCAUUGGGGAACCCUGAGCUCAGUCCAAUGGUUACCUGUGAGCUUCUGCCUCUGUAUUUAUCAGGCUCUGACCUAGCCUCUCAGGAGACAGCCAUAUCAGGCUUCCAUCAGCAAGCACUUCCCAGCAUCCAAUAACACCAGAUUUGGUGGUUAUAUAUGGGAUGGAUCCCCAGGUGGGACAGUCUCUGAAUGGCCUUUCCUUCAGUCUCUGCUCCACACUUUGUCUUCAUAUUUCCUCUUGUGAGUGGCCUUGUUGGUCAUCAGUGGAAGGAGAAGCCCUUGGGCCUGUGGAUGUUUGAUGCCCCAGUGUAGGGGAAUGCCAGGGUAGAAUGCCCCCUCAUAGAGGCAGGGGAAGGGGUGAUGGGAUGUGGGGUUUCUGAGGGGGAUAUCUGAAAAAGGAAAAACAUUUGAAAUGUAAAUAAAGAAAAUAUCCAGUAAAAAAAGGAAACAUAAAAUGUAAGGUUCAAAAGUCUCACCAGGAUGUUGAAUGAAGCUAAAUCUUGUGAUCAAGGAUAUUGAAUGAGUGGUGACUUUAGGGCAAAAUUCCAUCCAGCUAACCUUACGGAUGUGCAGUUGCAUAAAAGUGAACGGUGUCAUGUUAGGCAUUAUUAUUAGCUGGUUAGUAUUCUCAUGUGGGCACACGGAGUUACAGUUGUGUGUCCAGUGGACGAGUGAUGGAUUCUGGGUUUUCAAUGUAAGAUCUAAAAUAAAAUACUUAUGUGC